rnacentral:rRNA from 1 species
GUGCACCAGGCGAGAAAACUCCACAAUGCGCGAAAGCGCGAUGGGGCUAUCCCGAGUGCCGUCCGCUGAGGAUGGCUUUUCUCCAGUGUAAGGAGCUGGAGGAAUAAGGAGAGGGCAAGUCUGGUGUCAGCCGCCGCGGUAAUACCAGCUCUCCGAGUGGUAGGGACGUUUAUUGGGCUUAAAAGCGUCCGUAGCCGGCUCAACAAGUCCUCCGUUAAAAUCCAGCGAUUCAAUCGUUGGACUGCGGGGGAUACUGUUGGGCUAGGGGACGGGAGAGGCCAACGGUAUUCCCGGAGUAGGGGUGAAAAUCCUAUAAUUCCGGGAGGACCACCAGUGGCGAAGGCUGUCGGCUAGGACGAGCUCGACGGUGAGGGACGAAAAGCUGGGGGAGCGAACCGGAUUAGAUACCCGUGUAGU